rnacentral:rRNA from 1 species
AGUGAACGCUGGCGGUAGGCCUAACACAUGCAAGUCGAACGGCAGCACAGUAAGAGCUUGCUCUUACGGGUGGCGAGUGGCGGACGGGUGAGGAAUACAUCGGAAUCUACUUUUUCGUGGGGGAUAACGUAGGGAAACUUACGCUAAUACCGCAUACGACCUACGGGUGAAAGCAGGGGAUCUUCGGACCUUGCGCGAUUGAAUGAGCCGAUGUCGGAUUAGCUAGUUGGCGGGGUAAAGGCCCACCAAGGCGACGAUCCGUAGCUGGUCUGAGAGGAUGAUCAGCCACACUGGAACUGAGACACGGUCCAGACUCCUACGGGAGCCAGCAGUGGGGAAUAUUGGACAAUGGGCGCAAGCCUGAUCCAGCCACACCGCGUGGGUGAAGAAGGCCUUCGGGUUGUAAAGCCCUUUUGUUGGGAAAGAAAAGCAGCAGGUUAAUACCCCGCUGUUCUGACGGUACCCAAAGAAUAAGCACCGGCUAACUUCGUG